rnacentral:rRNA from 1 species
GUGGGGAAUAUUGGACAAUGGGGGGAACCCUGAUCCAGCCAUGCCGCGUGUGUGAAGAAGGCCUUUUGGUUGUAAAGCACUUUAAGCGAGGAGGAGGCUACCGAGAUUAAUACUCUUGGAUAGUGGACGUUACUCGCAGAAUAAGCACCGGCUAACUCUGUGCCAGCAGCCGCGGUAAUACAGAGGGUGCAAGCGUUAAUCGGAUUUACUGGGCGUAAAGCGCGCGUAGGUGGCCAAUUAAGUCAAAUGUGAAAUCCCCGAGCUUAACUUGGGGAUUGCAUUCGAUACUGGUUGGCUAGAGUAUGGGAGAGGAUGGUAGAAUUCCAGGUGUAGCGGUGAAAUGCGUAGAGAUCUGGAGGAAUACCGAUGGCGAAGGCAGCCAUCUGGCCUAAUACUGACACUGAGGUGCGAAAGCAUGGGGAGCAAACAGGAUUAGAUACCCGGGUAGUCC